CAGGAACCUGAAUAAUACAUAUGAGCAGCCCGACCCGACCACCAUUAUUAGAACCAGGACCCAUCAAACCACCCUGUACUCACCCAGCAGAGCGAGCAUUUAUAUGAGAGCUUUAAACCGAUGACAACACAGACUAACAGUGAGACUCCAUUGUCCGAAAGCGCCGAAGAUUCACCCACUGGUGCGACAGAUAAUGAAGAGACCAUAACCCUGUUAAAGAAACGGAAGUCCUAAAUCUGCACAGUCAUGUGACUUGAUGCAAGUUAAUGUGGUUGGUUAAUUGAAAGCAUUCAUAGAAAUGACUCUAUUGGGUGUAUUUCUAUGGGUCAAAUCUGCUCUUUGCACAUUGGUAUUAAAAAUUCUAAUGCACAUGUAAGUGUUACUGUAUAACAUUGUCUGUCUCAUCUCCUGCACGUACAAGUGUUGCCAUGUCAUUGCAUUUGUCUUCCAAACACUCCCUGUGUGUAUGCUGGUCAUUGUCCCCCACACUGAAAUUGGGGAAGGGACUGUGGAUCUGUUUCCGUCCGUUAGUACGUUCAUAUGUUAGUCACAAGCGAUAUCUCAGACAGCAUUGGCCCGGUUUUGACUAAACUUUGGUGAAUGGUGCAUCUUGCCAUAGCUUUACAGCAUUUAGAAAAUUACACUGAUUGGCCAGAUGGUGGCCCUGUAACAAGAUUGAAAAUGCAAAGUUUGAAAGGUCAUGCCCCUCACCCCAUUAUACCUUAAAUCAUGAAAUAUAGUAGAUCGGUUCCUGUCUUCACAAGGAACAAAUUUGCCUCUGGACCCAUAAGUUCCGCCAUGAUGGAUUUUCCGCCAUUUUGAAUUGUGUGAAAAACACUUAACCCUACUCUUCUGAUACCGAAUGACCAAUCUGCACGAAACUUGAUAUGUGGCAUUUAUGGAAAACGAUCUCUCAACGCAAUAUUUUCCAGACUGGUAGCUAAAUCAACAUGGCCGCUAUAUUGACCAAUAAACAUUCACCUGGGUGUGUUCUGGCACAUAACUGCAUAUAAAUCAGUCAAAGACAUUCGUAUUGUAACAGAAUUUGAUAAACCCUGUCAAGACUCAACAUAUGCAAGAACAUUCAUAUCGACCUUGCUGUGGCGCUAUAACGGGCAUAUAUCUGUUGGUCUGUUUGACUUAGUGAUGAAAUUUGGCACGCAUGUUUAGGGAUAUGAGCUAACCCACACGAUAUCUCAGACACCACUGGCCCAAUUUUGACAACAUUUGGGUGAAUGAUUAGUCAUGCUAUAGAGAUCUGAAAAUGACAAAAUUAUACCUUUUGGGCCAGGGGGGCUAUAGUAAUCAACUGUACAUACGUUAGUCAUUUGUGGGGGGAUGACAUGUUUACUGUUGCCUUAUUUCAAGGUGUCUUGGUAGUCAAUAUUCUAAGAUUGUCAUAAUGUGUAUCAUUUCUUCAAUCAUGCUAAUUUAAAUCUCUGCUCUUCACUUGAAUCAUGGUUGUACAAUUUGAAAUAAAUGUCAUCUGUUUUUGAACUA